rnacentral:rRNA from 1 species
UACGUAGGGGGCAAGCGUUGUCCGGAUUUAUUGGGCGUAAAGAGCGUGUAGGUGGUUUGGUAGGUCCGCUGUGAAAACUCGAGGCUCAACCUCGAGACGCCGGUGGAAACCAUCAGGCUAGAGUCCGGAAGAGGAGAAUGGAAUUCCCGGUGUAGCGGUGAAAUGCGCAGAUAUCGGGAAGAACACCCGUGGCGAAGGCGGUUCUCUGGGACGGUACUGACGCUGAGACGCGAAAGCGUGGGGAGCGAACAGG